rnacentral:rRNA from 1 species
GGAAUUUUCCGCAAUGGGCGAAAGUCUGACGGAGCGACGCUGCGUGAAGGAUGACGGCCUGCGGGUUGUAAACUUCUUUUCUCGAAGAAGAAGCUCUGACGGUAUUCGAGGAAUAAGCAUCGGCUAACUCCGUGCCAGCAGCCGCGGUAAUACAGAGGAUGCAAGUGUUAUUCGGAAUGAUUGGGCGUAAAGCGUCUGUAGGCUGUAUAGAAAGUCUUUUGUUAAAUGCCUCGGCUCAACCGAGAUCCAGCAAAGGAAACUUCUAUACUUGAGGGAAGUAGAGGUACAGGGAAUUCCCGGUGGAGCGGUGAAAUGCGUAGAUAUCGGGAGGAACACCAAUAUGGCGAAGGCACUGUACUGGGCUUUACCUGACGCUCAGAGACGAAAGCUAAAGGAGUGAUUAGGAUUAGAUACCCCUGUAGUC